AGAGUUUGAUCCUGGCUCAGGAUGAACGCUAGCUACAGGCUUAACACAUGCAAGUCGAGGGGAAACGACAUCGAAAGCUUGCUUUUGAUGGGCGUCGACCGGCGCACGGGUGAGUGACGCGUAUCCAACCUGCCCACCACUUGGGGAUAACCUUGCGAAAGUAAGACUAAUACCCAAUGACGUCUCUAGAAGACAUCUGAAAGAGAUUAAAGAUUUAUCGGUGAUGGAUGGGGAUGCGUCUGAUUAGCUUGUUGGCGGGGUAACGGCCACCAAGGCGACGAUCAGUAGGGGUUCUGAGAGGAAGGUCCCCCANAUUGGAACUGAGACACGGUCCAAACUCCUACGGGAGGCAGC
rnacentral:rRNA from 1 species